rnacentral:rRNA from 1 species
AUUGAACGCUGGCGGCAUGCUUUACACAUGCAGGUCGAACGGUAACAGGCCGCAAGGUGCUGACGAGUGGCGAACGGGUGAGUAAUGCAUCGGAACGUGCCCAGUCGUGGGGGAUAACUACUCGAAAGAGUAGCUAAUACCGCAUACGAUCUAUGGAUGAAAGCGGGGGACCGUAAGGCCUCGCGCGAUUGGAGCGGCCGAUGUCAGAUUAGGUAGUUGGUGGGGUAAAGGCUCACCAAGCCAACGAUCUGUAGCUGGUCUGAGAGGACAACCAGCCACACUGGGACUGAGACACGGCCCAGACUCCUACGGGAGGCAGCAGUGGGGAAUUUUGGACAAUGGGCGCAAGCCUGAUCCAGCAAUGCCGCGUGCAGGAAGAAGGCCUUCGGGUUGUAAACUGCUUUUGUACGGAACGAAACGGCUCUGGUUAAUACCCGGGGCUAAUGACGGUACCGUAAGAAUAAGCACCGGCUAACUACGUG